UACAGAGGGUGCGAGCGUUGUUCGGAAUUAUUGGGCGUAAAGCGCAUGUAGGCGGCUGCUCAAGUCGCGUGUGAAAGCCCCCGGCUCAACCGGGGAAGUGCGCGCGAAACUGGGUGGCUUGAGUGCCGGAGAGGAUCGCGGAAUUCCCGGUGUAGAGGUGAAAUGCGUAGAUAUCAGGAGGAACACCGGUGGCGAAGGCGGGUCUCUGGGCCGAUACUGACGCUGAGGAGCGAAAGCGUGGGGAGCGAACAGG
rnacentral:rRNA from 1 species